UCCCUGGUGGUUCAGUGGUUAAGACUCCUCACUUGCACUGCAGGGGACACGGGUUCAAUCCCUGGUCAGGGAA
rnacentral:tRNA from 1 species